CCCUUAGAUGUUCUGGGCUGCACGCGUGCUACAAUGGCGCUUGCAACAAGUCUUGCCAACCCGAUAGGGUGAGCGGAUCUUUGAAGAGGCGUCGUGAUCGGGACAGUUGAUUGCAAUUAUUCGACUCGAACGAGGAAUUCCUUGUAAUCGCGAUUCAUCAUAUCGCGCUGAAUACGUCCCUGCCCUUUGUACACACCGCCCGUCGCUCCUACCGAUUGAGCGAUCCGGUGAAUGUUUUGGACUGGCGUCAGAAGCGGUUCGCUCCCGACACUACGAAAUUUUGUAAACCUUAUCGCUUAGAGGAAGGAAAAGUCGUAACA
rnacentral:rRNA from 1 species